rnacentral:rRNA from 1 species
UACGAAGGGGGCUAGCGUUGUUCGGAAUUACUGGGCGUAAAGCGCGCGUAGGCGGUGCGAUAAGCUAGGGGUGAAAUCCCAGGGCUCAACCCUGGAAUUGCCUUUAGAACUGUCGUGCUGGAGUCUCGAAGGGGAUAGCGGAAUUCCAAAUGUAGAGGUGAAAUUCGUAGAUAUUUGGAGGAACACCGGUGGCGAAGGCGGCUAUCUGGUCGAGUACUGACGCUGAGGCGCGAAAGCGUGGGGAUCAAACAGG